rnacentral:rRNA from 1 species
GAUGAACGCUAGCGGCAGGCUUAAUACAUGCAAGUCGUGGGGCAGCGGGUGUAGCAAUACAUGCUGGCGACCGGCAAACGGGUGCGGAACACGUACGCGACCUUCCUUUAACUGGAGAAUAGCCCCUCGAAAGAGGGAUUAAUACUCCGUAACAUAUUGAUAAGGCAUCUUAUUAAUAUUAUAGCUCCGGCGGUUAAAGAUGGGCUGCGCCUGAUAGGUAGUUGGCGGGUAACGCCCACAAGCCUUCGAUC